rnacentral:ncRNA from 1 species
GUGUUGUAUGAAAGGAGAGAAGGUUAGCACUCCCCUUGAUAAGGAUGGAAGAGGUCCCAGUGGCCUGUACAACACGCAUAUGGUUAAGGCAUUGCUGCUUACGUUGCGGCAUCUAACCAGUUUUU